UACGUAGGGGACAAGCGUUGUCCGGAUUUAUUGGGCGUAAAGAGCGUGUAGGCGGCCAAACAGGUCCGUUGUGAAAACUCGAGGCUCAACCUCGAGCUGUCGAUGGAAACCGUUUGGCUAGAGUCCGGAAGAGGAGAGUGGAAUUCCUGGUGUAGCGGUGAAAUGCGCAGAUAUCAGGAAGAACACCCGUGGCGAAGGCGGCUCUCUGGGACGGUACUGACGCUGAGACGCGAAAGCGUGGGGAGCAAACAGG
rnacentral:rRNA from 1 species